rnacentral:rRNA from 1 species
AGCGAGCGCUGGCGGCAGGCUUAACACAUGCAAGUCGAGCGCCCCGCAAGGGGAGCGGCAGACGGGAGAGUAACACGUGGGAACGUACCCUUUAGUUCGGAACAACCCAGGGAAACUUGGGCUAAUACCGGAUACGUCCGUAAGGAGAAAGAUUUAUCGCUAAAGGAUCGGCCCGCGUCUGAUUAGCUAGUUGGGGAGGUAACGGCUCACCAAGGCGACGAUCAGUAGCUGGUCUGAGAGGAGGAUCAGCCUCACUGGGACUGAGACACGGCCCAGACUCCUACGGGAGGCAGCAGUGGGGAAUAUUGGACAAUGGGCGCAAGCCUGAUCCAGCCAUGCCGCGUGGGUGAUGAAGGCCCUAGGGUUGUAAAGCCCUUUCGGCGGGGAAGAUAAUGACGGUACCCGCAGAAGAAGCCCCGGCUAACUUCGUGCCAGCAGCCGCGGUAA